AGUGAUGGAACUCGUGUUAUUACUGCCUCCAGUGAUUGUACAGUCAAGGUUUGGGAUGUGAAGAGUACAGAGUGUAUACAUACAUUUAGGCCACCGCCUCCAUUGAGGGGAGGUGAUGCUUCUGUGAACUCUGUUCAUCUUUUCCCAAAGAACACAGAUCACAUUGUUGUUUGUAAUAAGACAUCAUCGAUAUGCAUCAUGACCCUUCAAGGACAGGUUGUGAAGAGUUUCUCAUCUGGUAAAAGAGAAGGUGGAGAUUUUGUCGCAGCAUGUUUGUCACCAAAAGGGGAAUGGAUAUAUUGUGUUGGUGAAGACAGGAAUACGUACUGCUUCAGCCACCAAUCUGGUAAACUAGAGCAUCUGAUGAAGGUUCAUGAGAAAGAUGUAAUAGGUGUGACUCACCAUCCCCAUCGGAAUCUCAUUGCAACAUACAGUGAAGAUUGUACAAUGAAAUUAUGGAAGCCUUGAAUUGCCCUUAUGUUGAUCCUUUUUAAAUUCUCUCGUAAAGACAAUUUUUUGCCCUACAUCAACUUUUCAUGUUCCAUCGGCUUUGAAACAGUAAUGUACUUGCAUCUAUCAUUCUCAACUGAAGGGGACUAGAACAUUGUGGCCAACUAGCCUUAGAAAUUUCAAUUCCAUUUUCUUGUACAGGUAACAAAUUAAGGAUCAUUUCUUUUUAC
rnacentral:misc_RNA from 1 species